rnacentral:tRNA from 1 species
CUCCCCGUAGUUCAAUGGAUAGAACAAAUCCGUCCUAAGGAUAAAAUGGGAGUUCGAUUCUCUCCGGGGAGA